rnacentral:rRNA from 1 species
GAUGAACGCUGGCGGCGUGCCUAAUACAUGCAAGUCGAGCGAACAGAUAAGGAGCUUGCUCCUUUGACGUUAGCGGCGGACGGGUGAGUUACACGUGGAUAACCUACCUAUAAGACUGGAUAACUUCGGGAAACCGGAGCUAAUACCGGAUAACAUAUUGAACCGCAUGGUUCAAUAGUGAAAGGCGGCUUUGCUGUCACUUAUAGAUGGAUCCGCGCCGUAUUAGCUAGUUGGUAAGGUAACGGCUUACCAAGGCAACGAUACGUAGCCGACCUGAGAGGGUGAUCGGCCACACUGGAACUGAGACACGGUCCAGACUCCUACGGGAGGCAGCAGUAGGGAAUCUUCCGCAAUGGGCGAAAGCCUGACGGAGCAACGCCGCGUGAGUGAUGAAGGUCUUCGGAUCGUAAAACUCUGUUAUCAGGGAAGAACAAAUGUGUAAGUAACUGUGCACAUCUUGACGGUACCUGAUCAGAAAGCCACGGCUAACUACGUG